rnacentral:rRNA from 1 species
AUGCCAUUGCCAUGGCCGUGCCCUUCGCCAUGGCCGAACGCGACGGGACUGAGCACCGGCGCUACUACGACAGGGGGCCAUGGCCUGCGAGCUCACAGGCCAGGGGCGGCCAUGGCUUACGAGCUUGAGGCAUGUUACUACAACUCCAGAUUUGCUUACAUGUUUGUUUUUGCUGGAACCAGUGUACUAAUUUGUUAUCACCGUCUUUGUUUUUUGCUGGAACUAAACCAAAUUUUGCUGCCAUGUCUUUUUGCUGGAAUCAUUUUGUACCACUUUUUUGCUACAAUAGUUUUGUUUUUUUCCUACUACCGGCACUGUCGUUUGUUACAUCCUUUUUUAUGA